AACAUGUGAAAUCUGCCUUUACAAUUCAUUUAUUAUUAAAUAUGCCAUUAUAAUUCUUUGUAUACCUGAUCUAUGUCAUUUUCUACAUCUCUCGAAUGUCUAAACCCACAAUCAAACCUCUACAUACGUACACAUCUUUCUAGUAUCAAGAGGUGCAGACGUCAAGGUCCACACCUGAAUCAAAUGACGCACCUAAAGAAUGAACAUGGUGAGAAGUCUUGUUCAGAAGACUUAAAAUAUUGAACCCUCGCCAAAAGAUAAAAUCGGUAGUUAUCCAUCUUUAUCCUUUCUGCAUUCCCUUUUUCCUUAAAUUAUUUACUUUUCUUAAAUGGCUUCUCAGUUAAUCAUGCUAUCUUGAAAAGAAAUUAAAAAUAUUAAAAACAGUAAGCCCCAUGUGAGUAUGCUUGUGGCAUAAAACCCAUAAGUACAUUCACUGUGGUGGUGUAAAAAUAAAAUAAAUAUAUUCCUGUCCUAUAGAAAUGAAAAUAUAAAAAUAAGAUUGUGAUCCCACUAAGGAGAAUAACAUUUAUUAGAGGAAGCUCAACAUAAUAACGGCUAAGAGAUUUUAUGCUAACACGUAACCAGUUCCACAAAGCUUUGUUGUCUAUUUGAGCUCCACAGAAUUCAAGGAUCAAAGAAGACUAGCAGACGGAGGACAUCCUAAUUGCUGUUAGGGUGAUGCCGACAUUCAAAUACACCUCUGCCACUUGCUAGCUACAUCAGAAGAAAUUACAUCAAAAUCCAGCUUGGGGGAGAGCACCCCCAUUUAUCCAGCUAAGUGUUUCUACUCGCGUUUAUACUUUACUCAAAUAAUAAAAAGAUGCAUAAUCAUAAAAACCCAAAUAAAGAUUUUUGUGCUUAUAUAUAUAUAUCUUUGCUUAGUUUGCUAAAUAAAUAAAUAAAUGAAGUUUGCUAUGAACCCUAAUGAUAAGCUCUCACAUAGAAAUGAUGAAUAGUUGCCCUGCCAUGACUAGUUCUUAAAAUUGAAAUCUCUCUCAAGUUUAGGCAUGACUGUUAUGAAUUAAGAUUUGCUCUAAACCUGAACUUGUGGGAAGAGUACUUGAUCAAAAGUCUAAGUCGUUAACAGAUACGAUAUGAGAAGGUUGAGCUGCUAUUUAUCUGUUCCUAGAUAUGCUAGAAUUCUGGAGAAUUUUAUCUUUGAAAAUCUUUAAAAUGUUGCAUGAUGAGUUCCUGUAUGAUGAGAGUUUAAAAUCCUACCACAGCCACAUAUACAUGCUUAUUAGACUAUGAACCAUACAUUUACUUUUUACUGCUUAUGAGCAUUGAGUGUGGUCAAGUUGUGUAGACCUUUAGGAGCUUGUCAUGCAGUUAAAAUUAAGAUUCACUUGCACGUUCACUCAUACAUGAUGCUUCUACUCCAGAAGUACGCACCACAUACAUCCACUCAUUUCCAUCUCCAGAUUCAUCCAAAAUUAUUCUACUCCUAUCUAGGAGAGAAUAGCCAAAAACAUUAUCCUAUCCCUGUUAUUCCCCGUGAAAUAAAUGCUCGAGAUAUUUUGGUUACUACCACUUGCUACAUUAUUCUAGGAGGGUGAGUGCUCUGAAAAAAAGGGAAAAAUACGAGGAAAUAAAAAGGGGCAAGUGCCCGGAACCUCGAAGAAAAGAAAAAGUGAGACGAGAGGUAAAAAUAGACAAGUGUCCGACAGUAGAAUUAGGGGUACAAGAUACCCACCUGAGAAAAAAGAAAAAUAAAAUAUAGAGCAUCUCAUUCCCCUCAAAAAGCUUCAAAGUGCAAGAAAGGUAUGUAUCCCGUCAAAAGAGCAAAAGUAGAAUUAGACUUUCACCAUUGUUUUCACCAUUAUCACCAUCAUCACCAUACACCAUUCAUUCGCCACACAUGCACAUCUUGAUUUGACUUAUUGACUUGUUUCUCUGGAUCCAUGGUUUGACUAUGCAAUAAAUGUCUUGUAAGUAUGUAUUAGCUGUCUCCCACCUAUGAGCUCCAGAUAUCAAAACCUUAUUAGAGUAGGGUGAGAGAGUAAGCAAUGUCACUAUGCCUCGUACCAAAAAUACUACAUACUACUACAUACUUUGAGAGAAGGCAUAUACCAUUACUGCCUUGGUAAGGAUCCAGAAAUACCACAAAAGAGAGAAUUGAGAGAGUGUCAUACAAGGAAUCUCUGAGUUUUAUUUUGAAAAUCUACAAAAACUCCAGAGCUAUAGUUGAUCAAAGAACGAGAGACAUGGCGCUUGACUUGACCAUUCUAUCUUUUAACUGCUCAAGACACAAGUGACGGUUGCAAGCUCCAUGGUGGAAGGUAAUAUGAGUAAUUUUAAAUCUUAACAGUUUACCCUAACCCAGAGAUGAGAUCUUGUUUGAACGCAUGUGUACCUUUAAGGCAUAAAACCACUGCAGAAACUCUUGAGUCCAUUCUUGCUCAGGGACGAGCAAGAGGUAAGCUUGGGGGAGUUGUUGACGGUCCUUAAGUAUCAAAUUUGACCAUCAAAUAAAUAAAGAAAAGGAUCCAAAUACAACCAACACCC
rnacentral:lncRNA from 1 species